CGUCUUCUUGCAUUCCGGUAAAAUAAAUGUAUAGGUUCACACCAUUAUAGCCACUAUAACUGCUGCAUCAGUUACCAGACAUUUCAUUUCUGUCAUUUGGAACAACAUUAAAAAGAGCAGCCCAUGGCCUACUUUCGGACUUCGUAUAAAACAAAGGAAAGCUUCGCUAUUUAAAAGAACACUGGCAUCAUCGACAUAAAAAACUCAUCAUACACUGAUCUGAAGCAUUCAAUGUAACACUAUUUUGUGCUUGGGUUAAAUUUCUGUCUGGGCGCAUAUAAAUGAAAAAACAAUACUUUAGUAUUCCUUCAUCCAUAAAGAAUGGCAAAUAAAUUUAAGAGCACUGGUCCUAGAAACCUUUCCAUUUAGAGCUCUCACUGCAAUGCAUGUGCAUUAUUGAUGAGUUUUUGCCCAUUCCUGUACAUUUAUCUCACCUAAACUACAAAAGUCUUCUUACUCGCCUACACUUUACAAUACAAGAGCAGUGCUUCUUGCAUUAGAAAACUAUUUUCCCUUGUGUGGCCUUUGCUUGCCUGAUCAUUGCUUCCUUGCAAAGCAGCCUUCAGACAU
rnacentral:lncRNA from 1 species